rnacentral:RNase_P_RNA from 1 species
GAAGCCAGGUGGCCGCGAACGGGCCAACGGCCUGAUCGAGGAAAGUCCGGGCUCCACAGGGCAGGGUGCUGGGUAACGCCCAGUGGGAGAGAUCCCAAGGAAAGUGCCACAGAGAACAGACCGCUCACGAUGUCAUCGUGAGCAAGGGUGAAACGGUGAGGUAAGAGCUCACCAGUGCCGGUGGUGACACCGGUAGCUAGGCAAACCCCACCCGGAGCAAGACCGAAUAGGAGAGGAGAGGUUGCCCGCCUCGCUACUACUCUCGGGUAGGUCGCUUGAGGCGCGUGGCGACACGCGUCCCAGAUAAAUGGUCACCGCGGCUCCGGCCCGAUGCAUCGGGCUGCACACGGAGCCGACAGAACCCGGCUUACGGUUUCCCCG